rnacentral:rRNA from 1 species
UUUAAUACCACACAACCCCUUCAACCCCUAACCACUAUUAGAUGACUCCAUAACCUCAUGGAAGACAUUAUGCUUGAACUAGUAACAAGAAUAUGUAAUUCUCCUAAAUGUAAGUAUAAGCCACAAUAGACCAACUAAUGGCAAUUAACGCAGAUAAACCCACUACAACAACCCCCCCCCCGAAAACCCUGCAGAACUUAACGUUAAUCUUACACAAGAACAUUUCAGGAAAGAUUAAAAGGGCGAAAAGGAACUCGGCAAAUAAUAACCCCGCCUGUUUACCAAAAACACCGCCUCUUGCUUAAAUAUAAGAGGUCUAGCCUGCCCAGUGAUUUUUCAACGGCCACGGUAUCCUAACCGUGCUAAGGUAGCGCAAUUACUUGUCCUUUAAAUGUGGACCCGAAUGAAUGGCAUCACGAGGGUUAUACUGUCUCCUCCCCCCAAUCAGUGAAACUGACCUUCCUGUGAAAAGGCAGGAAUAAAAAUAUUAGACGAGAAGACCCCAUGGAGCUUUAGACCUAGAGCAAGUUAGACCCCUACCCUAAAAGUCCAAAACCUGUGUCUCCAAGUCUUCGGCUGGGGCGACCCUGGAGAAAAAAACAACCUCCACGCCGAACGGACAACUCCUUAUCCACGAGCCACACCUCUAAGAAACAGAACACUGACGCUCACUGAUCCGGAUCCCGAUCAACGAACCAAGUUACCCUGGGGAUAACAGCGCUAUCUGCCUCAAGAGUUCCUAUCGACAGGCGGGUUUACGACCUCGAUGUUGGAUCAGGGCGCCCUAGUGGUGUAGCCGCUACAUAAGGUUC